rnacentral:rRNA from 1 species
UGAGUAACACGUAUCCAACCUGCCGUCUACUCUUGACAGCCUUCUGAAAGGAAGAUUAAUACAAGAUGGCAUCAUGAGUCCGCAUGUUCACAUGAUUAAAGGUAUUCCGGUAGACGAUGGGGAUGCGUUCCAUUAGAUAGUAGGCGGGGUAACGGCCCACCUAGUCAACGAUGGAUAGGGGUUCUGAGAGGAAGGUCCCCCACAUUGGAACUGAGACACGGUCCAA